rnacentral:rRNA from 2 species
GGUUAAGUGACUAAGCGUACACGGUGGAUGCCCUGGCAGUCAGAGGCGAUGAAGGACGUGCUAAUCUGCGAAAAGCGUCGGUAAGGUGAUAUGAACCGUUAUAACCGGCGAUGUCCGAAUGGGGAAACCCAGUGCAAUUCGUUGCACUAUCGUUAACUGAAUACAUAGGUUAACGAGGCGAACCGGGGGAACUGAAACAUCUAAGUACCCCGAGGAAAAGAAAUCAACCGAGAUUCCCCCAGUAGCGGCGAGCGAACGGGGAGCAGCCCAGAGUCUGAAUCAGCUUGUGUGUUAGUGGAACGGUCUGGAAAGUCCGACGGUACAGGGUGAUAGUCCCGUACACCAAAAUGCACAGGCUGUGAACUCGAAGAGUAGGGCGGGACACGUGGUAUCCUGUCUGAAUAUGGGGGGACCAUCCUCCAAGGCUAAAUACUCCUGACUGACCGAUAGUGAACCAGUACCGUGAGGGAAAGGCGAAAAGAACCCCGGCGAGGGGAGUGAAAAAGAACCUGAAACCGUGUACGUACAAGCAGUGGGAGCACCUUCGGGUGUGACUGCGUACCUUUUGUAUAAUGGGUCAGCGACUUAUAUUCUGUAGCAAGGUUAACCGUAUAGGGGAGCCGCAGGGAAACCGAGUCUUAACUGGGCGUUAAGUUGCAGGGUAUAGACCCGAAACCCGGUGAUCUAGCCAUGGGCAGGUUGAAGGUUGGGUAACACUAACUGGAGGACCGAACCGACUAAUGUUGAAAAAUUAGCGGAUGACUUGUGGCUGGGGGUGAAAGGCCAAUCAAACCGGGAGAUAGCUGGUUCUCCCCGAAAGCUAUUUAGGUAGCGCCUCGUGAACUCAUCUUCGGGGGUAGAGCACUGUUUCGGCUAGGGGGUCAUCCCGACUUACCAACCCGAUGCAAACUACGAAUACCGAAGAAUGUUAUCACGGGAGACACACGGCGGGUGCUAACGUCCGUCGUGAAGAGGGAAACAACCCAGACCGCCAGCUAAGGUCCCAAAGUCAUGGUUAAGUGGGAAACGAUGUGGGAAGGCACAGACAGCCAGGAUGUUGGCUUAGAAGCAGCCAUCAUUUAAAGAAAGCGUAAUAGCUCACUGGUCGAGUCGGCCUGCGCGGAAGAUGUAACGGGGCUAAACCAUGCACCGAAGCUGCGGCAGCGACACUAUGUGUUGUUGGGUAGGGGAGCGUUCUGUAAGCCUGCGAAGGUGACCUGUGAGGGUUGCUGGAGGUAUCAGAAGUGCGAAUGCUGACAUAAGUAACGAUAAAGCGGGUGAAAAGCCCGCUCGCCGGAAGACCAAGGGUUCCUGUCCAACGUUAAUCGGGGCAGGGUGAGUCGACCCCUAAGGCGAGGCCGAAAGGCGUAGUCGAUGGGAAACAGGUUAAUAUUCCUGUACUUGGUGUUACUGCGAAGGGGGGACGGAGAAGGCUAUGUUAGCCGGGCGACGGUUGUCCCGGUUUAAGCAUGUAGGCUGGUUGUCCAGGCAAAUCCGGAUAAUCAAGGCUGAGGUGUGAUGACGAGGCACUACGGUGCUGAAGUAACAAAUGCCCUGCUUCCAGGAAAAGCCUCUAAGCAUCAGGUAACAUCAAAUCGUACCCCAAACCGACACAGGUGGUCAGGUAGAGAAUACCAAGGCGCUUGAGAGAACUCGGGUGAAGGAACUAGGCAAAAUGGUGCCGUAACUUCGGGAGAAGGCACGCUGGUGUGUAGGUGAAGUCCCUGCGGAUGGAGCUGAGACCAGUCGAAGAUACCAGCUGGCUGCAACUGUUUAUUAAAAACACAGCACUGUGCAAACACGAAAGUGGACGUAUACGGUGUGACGCCUGCCCGGUGCCGGAAGGUUAAUUGAUGGGGUUAUCCGUAAGGAGAAGCUCUUGAUCGAAGCCCCGGUAAACGGCGGCCGUAACUAUAACGGUCCUAAGGUAGCGAAAUUCCUUGUCGGGUAAGUUCCGACCUGCACGAAUGGCGUAAUGAUGGCCAGGCUGUCUCCACCCGAGACUCAGUGAAAUUGAACUCGCUGUGAAGAUGCAGUGUACCCGCGGCAAGACGGAAAGACCCCGUGAACCUUUACUAUAGCUUGACACUGAACAUUGAGCCUUGAUGUGUAGGAUAGGUGGGAGGCUUUGAAGCGUGGACGCCAGUCUGCGUGGAGCCAACCUUGAAAUACCACCCUUUAAUGUUUGAUGUUCUAACGUUGGCCCCUGACCGGGGUUGCGGACAGUGUCUGGUGGGUAGUUUGACUGGGGCGGUCUCCUCCCAAAGCGUAACGGAGGAGCACGAAGGUUAGCUAAUCCUGGUCGGACAUCAGGAGGUUAGUGCAAUGGCAUAAGCUAGCUUGACUGCGAGCGUGACGGCGCGAGCAGGUGCGAAAGCAGGUCAUAGUGAUCCGGUGGUUCUGAAUGGAAGGGCCAUCGCUCAACGGAUAAAAGGUACUCCGGGGAUAACAGGCUGAUACCGCCCAAGAGUUCAUAUCGACGGCGGUGUUUGGCACCUCGAUGUCGGCUCAUCACAUCCUGGGGCUGAAGUAGGUCCCAAGGGUAUGGCUGUUCGCCAUUUAAAGUGGUACGCGAGCUGGGUUUAGAACGUCGUGAGACAGUUCGGUCCCUAUCUGCCGUGGGCGCUGGAGAAUUGAGGGGGGCUGCUCCUAGUACGAGAGGACCGGAGUGGACGCAUCACUGGUGUUCGGGUUGUCAUGCCAAUGGCACUGCCCGGUAGCUAAAUGCGGAAGAGAUAAGUGCUGAAAGCAUCUAAGCACGAAACUUGCCCCGAGAUGAGUUCUCCCUGAGACUUUAAGUCUCCUGAAGGAACGUUGAAGACGACGACGUUGAUAGGCCGGGUGUGUAAGCGCAGCGAUGCGUUGAGCUAACCGGUACUAAUGAACCGUGAGGCUUAACCUU